rnacentral:rRNA from 1 species
UACGUAGGGGGGCUAGCGUUGUCCGGAAUCAUUGGGCGUAAAGCGCGUGUAGGCGGCCCGGUAAGUCCGCUGUGAAAGUCGGGGGGCUCAACCCUCGGAUGCCGGUGGAUACUGUCGGGCUUGAGUACGGAAGAGGCGAGUGGAAUUCCUGGUGUAGCGGUGAAAUGCGCAGAUAUCAGGAGGAACACCGAUUGCGAAGGCAGCUCGCUGGGACGUUACUGACGCUGAGACGCGAAAGCGUGGGGAGCAAACAGG